GGUACUACGAAGUUCCUCCUGAUGAAGAUGAGAAGCUUGUCCGACUUCUUCCGCUGCUUACCCCUGAACCUGUUGACAACCGUGAUGGUGAUGGAUUUUCACUUGUCACAUCCUGUGAAUACUGAAACCACUACUUCUUGGGGAGUUUGAAGACAUGGGAGAAGACAUGUAUGUAGGACUAUUUGCUUCAGCAAACUCCCUCAAUCUGUUGAGUUCUGGUAAAAUUUGUGUAAGAUCAGGUCUAUCUUUUUUUCUCAACUCUGCACACUGAAGAGAGAGUUUAGCAAAAUGUAAGGCUUCUUCAUAAGGCCAAUCUUGAAUAGAAGGAUCCAACAUUUCUUCAAAUGUUCCUCUUUCAAUAGCUCUUUGUACGUGAUGGGUUAAACCCAUAGCUGGUUUAGCUGUAAUCAUUUGCAAGUACAUGAUACCUAAUGAGUAUAUAUCCGAUUUUGUCCCUAGCAUCCCUGUUUGUUGAUACUCUGGAUCAAUGUAACAAAAGGUUCCAGCUGCUUGAGUCAUCCGAUAUUGGGUUACAGUGUCAGCUAUGGAAGGUGGGACCAACCUAGCUAGCCCAACAUCACUGAUCUUGCUCACGAAAUUUCGAUCUAGUAAAAUGUUUGCGGGUUUGAGAUCUCGGUGUACAAGUGGCUCGGGCUUUGUUUGGUGAAGGAAGAGUAGGCCUGUUCCGAUUUCUGCAGCAAUGCGGAAUCUCAGUUGCCAUGGAAGUGGUCGUGUGUUUCCACUACAAAAAAGACGGUCCUCUAAGCUUCCGUUAGACAUGUAUUCAUAGACUAAGCAGCCGUACUCAGGGCAUGCACCUAAGAGGAGCACCAUGUUGGGAUGUCUUAUGCAACUUAGGAUUUCAACCUGCAUGAGAGAUUAGGCUUACAAGAGUUACAAUCAUGUCUUAUUUUGAUCUAGCCUAAACUUAUUGAAUAGACCACUUUCAGAUUUUAUGCCUUUCCAAUAUUAAAUAAGCCGAUGUUUAGAUUCAGUAGGUAGAGUUAAAUUUUGAUCUAGUCUAAAAUCCAAUAUGCUAACUGCUAUUUGCUAAUAGAAGUAUCUCAUUAUAGUUUAGGAGUGGUGAAAUAUUUAGUAUAUUUAAGCAGCAUGUGGAUCCUUGUGGUGCCUUUCUUCACCUGAAAUUUGCUGAACAAUAUUUAUUUGAAGUUAUUUGAGUUAGUUUAACUUUUUUA